AAGUCGUAACAAGGUCUCCGUAGGUGAACCUGCGGAGGGAUCAUUACUGAGUGUGGGCUCCGGCCCUACCUCCAACCCCAUGUCGAAACGACUCUGUUGCCUCGGGGGCGACCCGGCCUUCGGGCGUCGGGGCCCCGGCGGACACCUUCAUAACUCUUGCAUCUCUUGCGUCUGAGUGAUACAUAUAAUCAAUCAAAACUUUCAACAACGGAUCUCUUGGUUCUGGCAUCGAUGAAGAACGCAGCGAAAUGCGAUAAGUAAUGUGAAUUGCAGAAUUCAGUGAAUCAUCGAAUCUUUGAACGCACAUUGCGCCCCCUGGCAUUCCGGGGGGCAUGCCUGUUCGAGCGUCAUUACACCACUCAAGCCUGGCUUGGUAUUGAGCGCCGCGGCCUGCCCGCGCGCUCCAAUGUCUCCGGCUGAGCCGUCCGUCUCUAAGCGUUGUGAAUAGCGAUCGCUUGCGAGGCCCGGGCGCGCUCGACGCCGUUAAACCCCCCAUUUUCUAUGGUUGACCUCGGAUCAGGUAGGGAUACCCGCUGAACUUAA
rnacentral:rRNA from 1 species